UACGAAGGGGGCUAGCGUUGCUCGGAAUCACUGGGCGUAAAGGGUGCGUAGGCGGGUCUUUAAGUCAGGGGUGAAAUCCUGGAGCUCAACUCCAGAACUGCCUUCGAUACUGAGAGUCUCGAGUCCGGGAGAGGUGAGUGGAACUGCGAGUGUAGAGGUGAAAUUCGUAGAUAUUCGCAAGAACACCAGUGGCGAAGGCGGCUCACUGGCUCGGUACUGACGCUGAGGUGCGAAAGCGUGGGGAGCAAACAGG
rnacentral:rRNA from 1 species